GGGACAUUUUCUGUUACAUUUCUCCCCUCUUUUGGUUUUUUGGUAAAUCUUUGCUGAGCACAUUAUAUGUGAUCUUCUGAGGUAAAUCAGUGAGUCCACACUACCUGAGAUCCUGUCCUGCGCAUCCCGAUGGAUGGACCUCUGACCAGACUGGGCGUGCUCUUCUUCACCCGCAGCGUCUGUUCUUAGCACCCAUUGUGGAACCAUCAGACAGCUGCUCCUUGCUUCCCCGAGGAAGAGCUGCUCUUCCAGCUAAACUCACUCAGGAUCCUGACCCCAGCUUCUGCUCUCCAUCCCGAGGCGGGGGCAGACAAGGACCGAGGGGCUGGGACACUGUGGGGGUCACACAGGUGCUGCUUUUCCCCACGAGGUGAGCUGUGCCCUCUCUUUCCGCCUGAGUUGGCUGGCAGCGAGGACAAAGGAUGUCAAUGUCCCCGACCUCAGUGGACGGAAUCUUGAAGCCAGCUUCCCCUGUUCUCUGAGAUGCCACAAAAUAGCCAGCACACAAAGUUUCUAAUAAAACAAUAUAAGAUAUGAGGUCAAGAAC
ensembl:lincRNA uncharacterized LOC106146672